GCAGAAAUGUGGGCUAAUACCUUAUAUUUCCACCAAGGGCAUCGUUGAUGGAACAAAGAUUUAUCGGUAUGGGAUGGGGAUGCGUCCGAUUAGGUUGUUGGCGGGGUAACGGCCCACCAAGCCAUCGAUCGGUAGGGGUUCUGAGAGGAAGGUCCCCCACAUAGGAACUGAGACACGGUCCUAACUCCUACGGAGGCAGCAGCA
rnacentral:rRNA from 1 species